AUUGAACGCUGGCGGCAGGCCUAACACAUGCAAGUCGAGCGGAUGAAGGGAGCUUGCUCCUGGAUUCAGCGGCGGACGGGUGAGUAAUGCCUAGGAAUCUGCCUGGUAGUGGGGGAUAACGUCCGGAAACGGGCGCUAAUACCGCAUACGUCCUGAGGGAGAAAGUGGGGGAUCUUCGGACCUCACGCUAUCAGAUGAGCCUAGGUCGGAUUAGCUAGUUGGUGGGGUAAAGGCCUACCAAGGCGACGAUCCGUAACUGGUCUGAGAGGAUGAUCAAUCACACUGGAACUGAGACACGGUCGAGCAUCCUACGGGAGGCAGCAGUGGGGAAUAUUAGACAAUGGGCGAAAGCCUGAUCCAGCCAUGCCGCGUGUGUGAAGAAGGUCUUCGGAUUGUAAAGCACUUUAAGUUGGGAGGAAGGGCAGUAAGUUAAUACCUUGCUGUUUUGACGUUACCAACAGAAUAAGCACCGGCUAACUUCGUG
rnacentral:rRNA from 1 species